UUGCGGGCUUUGCCUGCCAUCUCUUACCCAUGUCUUUUGAGUACCUUCGUUUCCUCGGUGGGUUCGCCCGCCGAUUGGACAACACUUAAACCCUUUGUAAUUGAAAUCAGCGUCUGAAAAAACUUAAUAGUUACAACUUUCAACAACGGAUCUCUUGGUUCUGGCAUCGAUGAAGAACGCAGCGAAAUGCGAUAAGUAGUGUGAAUUGCAGAAUUCAGUGAAUCAUCGAAUCUUUGAACGCACAUUGCGCCCCUUGGUAUUCCAUGGGGCAUGCCUGUUCGAGCGUCAUUUGUACCUUCAAGCUUUGCUUGGUGUUGGGUGUUUGUCUCGCCUCUGCGCGCAGACUCGCCUUAAAACGAUUGGCAGCCGGCGUAUUGAUUUCGGAGCGCAGUACAUCUCGCGCUUUGCACUCAUAACGACGACGUCCAAAAAGUACAUUUUUUACACUCUUGACCUCGGAUCAGGUAGGGAUACCCGCUGAACUUAAGCAUAUCAAUAAGCGGAGGAA
rnacentral:rRNA from 1 species